rnacentral:lncRNA from 1 species
AGCUGUUUGCUAUGAGUGCUUGAUAUGGGAGAGGGAUAGCUCAGGCUGGGUUUUUGCCUGUGGCUGCUGCUGUAGGCUAGACUGCAAGACAGGAGCUGUGGGGAGCGUAGGGGUUUUUGUCAGCUUUGCACAGACCCCUUUCUGCAGGAACUGGAGCAGGCACCCUCCAGCUUUGUCACUGCUCUCAGCAGAUACUUCCUAUUCCAGUCAGAAUUGCCUGUUUUCAAGUGAACUAGAGCAAGAGGGCUGCAUAACAAUACGGACAUCUGCCGAACGCCCCGGCCAUGUAGCAACACGUGGCGUAGUACCCAGCACACCCUGGCCUUGUUGCACACCCGUUCUGCACAGCCAUGCCAAGGAGAACCGCGUGCACCAGGCGCCUCCAAGAUGGCCAGCCAACAACGGAGGUCCCCCAUGACUGCCUUUUGCAUGUCAGUGGCAAGACCGGGCCUAUGGGCUGGCCUCCAUCGCACUUGCACCAGAGUAAUGAUUGAAUUCAGGCCCAAGUAAGCCCAUUGACCUCAGCUGAGUUUCUCCAGUUCAUGCUGAUGCAGCCAAGAUCGGGUGCGACCUCUGUGUGAGAUGAAACAUUACUGGUUGAGCGUUCCUCCCUUGUGUUCAUCCAGAGCCAAAGGGCCAUGAUGGACAGUCCUAUGCUAAUGAGGUAAGGGAAAGAAGGAUAACUGAGGAAGGAAGAAAUAGUUGUGAGCACAAAUCUUCUAUAAUUCUAAAAAAAAAAGUGGACAGUAUUUAGACAGAGAUGGAUCUGACAGACAUACUAUAUAUAGACCUAGACAUUUAUACCCA